GGUUAAUGGCGCCACUGAUUUCGGAGGCCGAUGGAAGAUUCUGGAACAGUUGAGGAAUCCAAGUGUGGGGUUACUGCACUUCACAACACCCUCCUGCAGACUCCACGACUUCAGACCGUCUCUGUUGGAAGUUCCAUUAAGCUGAAUUGCCACACAGAUUGGUAUGUGAGUGGACAACUUCACUGGUAUAAACAGCAGCUACGAGAACAUUUGCUAAAGGUUGACUUAACGGACGAGAACUUCAUUUCAGAUGGAAGAAAGAUUUCUGGAGAAAUUAAUAAUGCUUUGACUAUUUAUACACUUGCGAUUGAUGAUGUUCAAGUGAAUGAUUCGGGUCGAUAUUACUGUGCAGCGUGGAAAUUCUAUGGAAGGCCCUUGGUAUUCGGAAAUGGAUCAACACUGCACGUUACAGAUGGAAUGAGUGAAAUCAAUGGAAGUUUGCUCUACCAGAUAGAGCCUUGCCUUUUAAUAUUUUAUGAAAGUUUGUUGGUGACGAUUAUUCUCAUUAUCUUUACUGUUGCUGCGGUAUGGAGCUACUGGAAGCGGAAUUUAAGAUCAGGCAUCAGGAUCACUGAUAAUGACUGCAGGGGUUCUCCACCACACGAUCAAAAGCAGGAGGUUCUCUAUGCCCGGUUGGCGUUCACUGUAGAUCAUACAGUGUGAUGGAACAGAAACAAGCAUUCAUCAGUUCUUUUUUUCUCACUCCAUGGGACGCCAAUUAGAAAUAUUUGUUCACUGAUCAGUACAAAAACAUUUCCUUGAUUUUGCACCAUGCCUGUUUGUUUUAAGGAUCGUUGGCAUGAAGUCGGAAAUUUCCUCCAAAAGAGCAACUGGCAGAAUGAAACCGCAAGAGAAAAAUGUUCCACCAAAUGUAGGUUUUACCGUCACAUGAUACUGAUUUUUAAAAUAAUGUAUUAAAAAUCCGAAGAGAGAAUAAUCUAACAACGACUGUCAACUUUAUGAUUUUUGUUUUUAUUC